GGUCUCUUCUCCAGUAUAUAUACUAAUAUUGGAAUGACACAGGAAAGACUGUCAAAGCCUCUGUGUAAGAAUGGCAUGCAAAUCUGUGAAGAAUUCAAUAUUUAA
ensembl:snRNA U6 U6 spliceosomal RNA